rnacentral:rRNA from 2 species
AAGUCUGACGGAGCAACGCCGUCGUGAGUGAUGAAGGUUUUCGGAUCGUAAAGCUCUGUUGUUAGGGAAGAACAAGUGCGAGAGUAACUGCUCGCACCUUGACGGUACCUAACCAGAAAGCCACGGCUAACUACGUGCCAGCAGCCGCGGUAAUACGUAGGUGGCAAGCGUUGUCCGGAAUUAUUGGGCGUAAAGGGCUCGCAGGCGGUUUCUUAAGUCUGAUGUGAAAGCCCCCGGCUCAACCGGGGAGGGUCAUUGGAAACUGGGAAACUUGAGUGCAGAAGAGGAGAGUGGAAUUCCACGUGUAGCGGUGAAAUGCGUAGAGAUGUGGAGGAACUCUCUUUGGCGAAGGCGACUCUCUGGUCUGUAACUGACGCUGAGGAGCGAAAGCGUGGGGAGCGAACCAGGAUUAAGAUACCCCUGGUAGUCCACGCCGUAAACGAUGAGUGCUAAGUGUUAGGGGUUUCCCGCCCCUUAGUGCUGCCAGCCUAACCGCAUNAGGCCCUCCGCCCUGGGGAGUA